UACGGGGGGGGCAAGCGUUGUUCGGAAUUACUGGGCGUAAAGGGCUCGUAGGCGGCCAACUAAGUCAGACGUGAAAUCCCUCGGCUUAACCGGGGAACUGCGUCUGAUACUGGAUGGCUUGAAUCCGGGAGAGGGAUGCGGAAUUCCAGGUGUAGCGGUGAAAUGCGUAGAUAUCUGGAGGAACACCGGUGGCGAAGGCGGCAUCCUGACCGGCAUUGACGCUGAGGAGCGAAAGCCAGGGGAGCAAAGCGGG
rnacentral:rRNA from 1 species